rnacentral:rRNA from 1 species
GUCGAACGCGUCUCCGUUGAUGAUUUCAGGUGCUUGCACCUGAAAGAUUUAACAUUGAGACGAGUGGCGAACUGGUGAGUAACACGUGGGUAACCUGCCCUUGAAGUAGGGGAUAACACUUGGAAACAGGUGCUAAUACCGUAUAACAACCAAAACCACCUGGUUUUGGUUUAAAAGACGGCUUCGGCUGUCACUUUAGGAUGGACCCGCGGCGUAUUAGCUUGUUGGUAAGGUAACGGCCUACCAAGGCGAUGAUACGUAGCCGACCUGAGAGGGUAAUCGGCCACAUUGGGACUGAGACACGGCCCAAACUCCUACGGGAGGCAGCAGUAGGGAAUCUUCCACAAUGGACGAAAGUCUGAUGGAGCAACGCCGCGUGAGUGAUGAAGGGUUUCGGCUCGUAAAACUCUGUUGUUGGAGAAGAACAGGUGUCAGAGUAACUGUUGACAUCUUGACGGUAUCCAACCAGAAAGCCACGGCUAACUACGUGCCAGCAGCCGCGGUAAUACGUAGGUGGCAAGCGUUGUCCGGAUUUAUUGGGCGUAAAGCGAGCGCAGGCGGUUUUUUAGGUCUGAUGUGAAAGCCUUCGGCUUAACCGGAGAAGUGCAUCGGAAACCGGGAGACUUGAGUGCAGAAGAGGACAGUGGAACUCCAUGUGUAGCGGUGAAAUGCGUAGAUAUAUGGAAGAACACCAGUGGCGAAGGCGGCUGUCUGGUCUGUAACUGACGCUGAGGCUCGAAAGCAUGGGUAGCGAACAGGAUUAGAUACCCUGGUAGUCCAUGCCGUAAACGAUGAGUGCUAAGUGUUGGAGGGUUUCCGCCCUUCAGUGCUGCAGCUAACGCAUUAAGCACUCCGCCUGGGGAGUACGAC